GCGCAAUUAGCUCAGCUGGCAGAGCACCUGACUCUUAAUCAGGGUGUCCAGGGUUCGAACCCCUGAUUGCGCA
rnacentral:tRNA from 1 species